ACUUGUAGGCUUUGCACAUUUAACAAACGUUUUGGGAACUCAACAUACUGAUGGCAUGCUGCUAUGUUGGACGGUUAGCUAAGAGAUGUCCCAAUUUUUGUGCCGAAUAGCAUCUAUGAUGUUGAUAGAGUGAAGUUAUGUCAACGAUGAAGUAAUGUAUGCUUCAUGGCAGCUAUUUUACCAACUUAAAAGCUUGGGUCAUAGGAUGGGGGAGAUCACAUUCAUUCUUAAACUUUUAUAUUAUUUAUGGUUUCUUUUAUUUUCUAUUUCUAAGUAUGGGUUUAGAAACCUGAUCUUUUGGAUUUCUUCCAAUUUGUUUUUUGGCAAUGUACUCAUCUCCAUCAAUGUUGGGUUAACCAGGUGUUAUAAGUAUGCAUUGAUGAUCAUAUCCAAGUAUCAUCUUGUUUUUCCACAAAUUGAGGAAGUAAGUGAUGUUGUUAAUUGGAAGAGGUUUCCUUUAUUGUAUAUACAAAAUGCUAUAAAUAAAAAUACUGUGGAAUGGGUAUCAUGGGUUUAUCUCA